rnacentral:rRNA from 1 species
UACGUAGGGUGCGAGCGUUGUCCGGAAUUAUUGGGCGUAAAGGGCUCGUAGGCGGUCUGUCGCGUCGGGAGUGAAAACUCAGGGCUUAACCCUGAGCCUGCUUCCGAUACGGGCAGACUAGAGGUAUGCAGGGGAGAACGGAAUUCCUGGUGUAGCGGUGGAAUGCGCAGAUAUCAGGAGGAACACCGGUGGCGAAGGCGGUUCUCUGGGCAUUACCUGACGCUGAGGAGCGAAAG